UACGUAGGUGGCGAGCGUUGUCCGGAAUUACUGGGUGUAAAGCGCGUGUAGGCGGGAGGCCAAGUCUGUGGUGAAAUCGCUCGGCUUAACUGGGCGGGGUCCAUGGAAACUGGUCACCUGGAGGUCGGUAGAGGCAAGUGGAAUUCCCGGUGUAGUGGUGAAAUGCGUAGAUAUCAGGAGGAACACCGGUGGCGAAGGCGGGUCUCUGGGCCGAUACUGACGCUGAGGAGCGAAAGCGUGGGGAGCGAACAGG
rnacentral:rRNA from 1 species